rnacentral:rRNA from 1 species
CCUACGGGAGGCAGCAGUGAGGAAUAUUGGUCAAUGGACGAGAGUCUGAACCAGCCAAGCAGCGUGAAGGAUGACUGCUCUAUGGGUUGUAAACUUCUUUUAUAUGGGAAUAAAACAGGGUAUGCAUACCCUCUUGUAUGUACCAUAUGAAUAAGGAUCGGCUAACUCCGUGCCAGCAGCCGCGGUAAUACGGAGGAUCCGAGCGUUAUCCGGAUUUAUUGGGUUUAAAGGGAGCGUAGGUGGAUUGGUAAGUCAGUUGUGAAAGUUUGCGGCCCAACCGUAAAAUUGCAGUUGAAACUGGCAGUCUGGAGUACAGUAGAGGUGAGCGGAAUUCGUGGUGUAGCGGUGAAAUGCUUAGAUAUCACGAAGAACUCCGAUUGCGAAGGCAGCUCACUGGACUGCAACUGACACUGAUGCUCGAAAGCGUGGGUAUCAAACAGGAUUAGAUACCCGGGUAGUC